rnacentral:rRNA from 1 species
GUGAGGAAUUUUCCGCAAUGGGCGAAAGCCUGACGGAGCAAUGCCGCGUGAAGGAUGAAGGCCUAUGGGUUGUAAACUUCUUUUCUCAGAAAAGAAUUAUGACGGUAUCUGAGGAAUAAGCAUCGGCUAACUCUGUGCCAGCAGCCGCGGUAAGACAGAGGAUGCAAGCGUUAUCCGGAAUGAUUGGGCGUAAAGCGUCUGUAGGUUGUUUAAAAAGUAUUCUGUCAAAGAUUAGGGCUUAACCCUAGAUAGGCAGAAUAAACUUUUAAGCUAGAGUUUGGUAGAGGCAGAGGGAAUUCCCGGUGGAGCGGUGAAAUGCGUAGAUAUCGGGAGGAACACCAAAGGCGAAGGCACUCUGCUGGGCCAAUACUAACACUGAGAGACGAAAGCGAGGGGAGCAAAUGGGAUUAGAUACCCGGGUAGUCC